UGAAGGUUUGUACCUUCUGAUUUCCUUCACCUAUUCUGUGCAGCUCCCCACCCCCCACCUCUGUCUGGCAACCGCCAAUUUGUUCUCUGUAUCUCUGAGCUUGUUUUUUUUUAGAUUCCACAUGUAAAUGAGAACAUAUAGUAUUUGUCUUUCUCUAUCUGACUUAUUUCACUUAACAUAAUGCUCCUGAGGUUCAUCCAUGUUGCCAAAAUGGCAAGAUUUCCUUCUUUUUUAUGGCUGAAUAAUAUUCCAUUGUAUGUAUAUAUACCGCAUUUUCUUAUCCAUUCAUCCAUUGAUGGCCCCUUAGGUUGUUUCCAUAUCUUGGCUAUUGUAAAUAACGCUGCAAGAUAUAUGCACAAGGGUGCAUAUAUCUUUUCCAGUUAGUGUUUUCAUUUUCUUCAGAUAAAUGCCCAGAAGUGGAAUUGCUGGAUCAUGUGGUAGUUUUAUUUCUAAUUUUUUGAGGAACCUCCAUGCUGUUUUCCACAGUGGCUGCACCAAUUUACAUUCCCACCAACAGUGCACAAGGGUUCCCUUUUCUCCACAUCCUCACCAACACUUAUUAGUUCUUGUCUUUUUGAUAGUAGCCAUUCUAACAGGUGAGAGGUGAUAUCUCAUUGUGGUUUUGAUUUGCAUUUCCCCAAUGGUUAGUGAUGUUGAGCAUUUUUUCAUUUACCUAUUGGCCAUCUGUGUGUCUUCCUUGGAAAGAUGUCUAUUCAGAUCCUCUGCCCAUUUUUUAAUAGGAUUUUAUUUAUUCAUUUUUCUGCUAUUGAGUUGAAUGGGGUCUUCACAUAUUUUGGAUAUUAACCCCUUAUCAGACACAUGAUUUGCCAAUAUUUUCUCCCAUUCAGUAUGUUGCCUUUUCAUUUUGUCAACUGUUUCCUUUGCUGUGCAGAUGCUUUUUAGUUUGAUAUGGUCCCAAGGUGAGCAUUUUUUAUGAGAAGCACAUAUUAGAGCUAAAGGUGUAGUUUAUCCUUCCUUCUUUCCCAAGGGAUUGGUGAUUUAGCUCUUGUGUUGGUGAUUGGGUUGAGAGCAGAAGCCAUGAUAACAGUAAAUAGCAGUGAUUUGGGAAUUCUAAAAGUGCUAGUGUUCAGGGAGAAGGUUGCCCUCUGAGAGGGAAUAAAUAAAUGAGUCUACAUUAAUGAGAAAAUAUAUACCUCUCAAACAGUAGCUGACAGCAGUAAGACCUUAAGUAGUGAUGUUUCAGUGAAACUUUCUAGGGUUGGGUAUAAUGGGAAAAAAUACUGACAAACAGAAGGCAAAUGUGCACAAGAGACUGACUAGAGAAAGCAAACUAUACAUCAAAACAAGGUUGCAGCCCAGAAAUCCGGAUUUAUUAGAAUCGCUCAUACACUGACAGGCUGAGCUAGUCUUUCAGCAUGUCAGUUUAUUGCGAGGUGCCACCUGGCAUGAGGACUCUGAAACUUGGGAAUCCUGUUCCUGGGCAAAGUGUGUAAAUGUUUUCCUGCCAGUGUCCAUUCACAGUGCUAAUAGCAAUAGUGUUUGUUUAAGCUGUAUCUUCUAAGACUUAUCAAUUUGUGCAGCUUAACUCGCUUCUUAGAUCUUAGGACCCCACAUUCUGCCUGUAUCCAUCCUACAGUCUCUGCAGUAAUGGAGCUUUACCUAGUAAUUCUUGCCUAGUUUCUACCGUGGCUGUGAUAGCUGUAUUUUUAGCUACUGAGAGACCAAUGGUAUCUGUCAUAAAUGCUGAUUUGUGGGUUCUGAGAAAUUAUAGAAAGAACCAGAAGUCCUGGAGCUGACUUACUAUAACUCAUGUUACUCAGCUGUGUUACAGGAUUGCCAAGCUGCACAACCUUUUGUUUGCAGGCAUGGAUGUCCCUCCUCUCAGGGUCCCUUCUUUCCCUGCCUCCAUUCUAUUUUCAGAAAGCCCUUUCCCAAGACUCUAGGGCACCACUGUCCAAUUUAACUUUCUGUGACAGUGGGAACAUUCUACAUCAGCACAGUCCAUAGGACUGGAAUGGCUGCAUCAUAGAGUAGAUACAUUUAAUUUUCAAAGAAACUACCAACCUGUUUUCCUUCCGCAGUUUGUGAGAGUUCCGGUCUCUCUACAUUCUCACCACGGUUGUGUCCAAUCUUUCUAAUUUGGGCCGUUCUGAUAGAGCAAACAUCUCAGAGGAAAUGUUUGGAGCAAGAUGGGAGAGGCAUUGAGCUCAGCAAGCAGAGUGUGAACAGCCCUACCGGAACCGCGGCCCGGCUCCUUCAUCAGUCUCUAUUUGCUGGUUAGGAACUUGAUGGAUGAAGCCACUGCUAGCAGAGCUGCUGUCUCUCCUCUUUGUGCUGCCCCAUUAAGCACUGGGACCGACAAUGAGAUUUACAAAGCACCAAUCCCGUCCAGAAAAAAAGUGCUCAUGCAUGCAGAAGGCUCUUCUUACAGUCACAUAAUCUGACCACCAGAUUACUAGAUAUAUACAACAAGCUACCUUCCUACAUAUGGAAUAUAGAGGCUACGACCCACAAAUUCAAGGUCAGUAAUGUUCCUUGGUUUGCUUUAUUGAUUUUUCAGUUUGACAUUUGAAUAAUGAGAGGUCUCAUUAGGCACUAGAAAGCUGAAUUUUUUCUCACAUAUUAAAUUUGUGCAGAGCUAAAUUAAGGGCAAACCAGUGGGGAAGGUUUACUGGGGUGAAAAAACAUUACUGUUUUAAAAUGAAGCCUGUUAACUUGUGUUUCUGGUAAGCUAUAACUUGCCUAUACCCUCCGAGCUCGAUAGCACCCUGUAGAUGGAAUAAUAAUAGAAAUAAUAAUAAUAAAUAGAAAUAAUAUUAGUAGAACUAGCAAUAACACAGUAGAAAUACUCCUCCUCUUCCUUGGCUGACCUACUUCUGUGCAAGUUGCAUGUGUACCCAUAGGUGACACCACCAGCCCAGAGACCAGCAUGCUGACAACAGACUCAUAUGCAGUUCUGGUCAGCAGAAUUCUGAAGCCAAAUAGUACCUCACUUAAUGCUGUUUACUGGAGAUGGGGUAUUUAUUUUAAUAUCUAAAAUGGAAAACUUUUAAUGUGACUUCCAAGAUAGUCUCUGAUUCCAAGGUUAGCAAAAGAAAAUGGAAGAGAGUUUUUUUACUGGCAAGAAAGCCAAAAAAAACUUUUAAACCUAUUUUGAACAGGAUUGUUUACCUGUAGUCAUGUGACCUAUCCACUUAGUGAGUAUGAGGGAUUAAUGCUACAAAGAGGGAGAAGGUUCUAGUGACAUGUGUGGGCUCUGAAGUCAGACCUGCAUCAUUCAAAUCCCAUUCCUACCACUUGGUAGAAACUGUGUGUGUCUUUGGGCAUGUUACAAAACUUAAGUCUCAGUUUCAUCAUUCAGAAAUUGGGGAUAAUAAUGGCACCUACCACCCAGGAUUGUUAUGAGCGUGAAAUGAGAUAAAGCAUAUAAAGGAAUCAGUACUCAGCAUAUAUUAAGCACUCAGAAAAUAUUAGCCUCUUAUUAUUAUUCAGGUAUGAACAGAAAAAUUAUGAAAUGAAAGAU